CCCCCUUUACCGCUAACGUCAAUGCUUCCGCCAUCCAUCAUUGGAUUCGAAAUAUCCUCUCGAUCAUCCCUAUUCUGCCCUCCACUAUCAGAAGUCGACGACAGAGCCAGCAGUGGAGGCUGGUGCUGCUAUUGCUGCAUGACAUAUCGAAUCCAGAUCUGAAGAGAGGAAAGGGUAGAAGAUAGGAUUAGGCUUCUUACGGUUACUUUGGGGCAUUCGAGGGUGAUAGGGUGGAAUUUGGUGGCGAAGCUAUCGGCAAGGAGGACAGCCUGGAGUGGGAUGCGAGCUGCUCCGGAUCGUCGGAGGAUAAAGACCAAUGCCCUUUCUACUGCGCAAUGGCUGCCGUCACUGUCGUCGACGGAGGGAGUAAAAGAAGAAAAAGGAGGAGGAAAGAGAGAUGGAGAGUUGGGUUUGGGCCCGGGCUGGGCCAAAGGUCUGCUCGAGCCUAGUCCAAAAAUAAAAUGGACCAUGUUCUUUUGGCCCGAGCUCGACCUGAAUGGCUUCAGACCGAGCCCGAAGCUA
rnacentral:lncRNA from 1 species